AACGAACGCUGGCGGCAUGCCUAACACAUGCAAGUCGAACGAAGCCUUCGGGCUUAGUGGCGCACGGGUGCGUAACGCGUGGGAAUCUGCCCUUGGGUUCGGAAUAACAGUUAGAAAUGACUGCUAAUACCGAAUGAUGUCUUCGGACCAAAGAUUUAUCGCCCAAGGAUGAGCCCGCGUCGGAUUAGCUAGUUGGUGAGGUAAAGGCUCACCAAGGCGACGAUCCGUAGCUGGUCUGAGAGGAUGAUCAGCCACACUGGGACUGAGACACGGCCCAGACUCCUACGGGAGGCAGCAGUGGGGAAUAUUGGACAAUGGGCGAAAGCCUGAUCCAGCAAUGCCGCGUGAGUGAUGAAGGCCUUAGGGUUGUAAAGCUCUUUUACCCGGGAUGAUAAUGACAGUACCGGGAGAAUAAGACCCCGGCUAACUCCGUGCCAGCAGCCGCGUAAU
rnacentral:rRNA from 1 species